rnacentral:piRNA from 1 species
CCAUAUCAUGCUGGAAACCACCCAUGGGCCU